rnacentral:lncRNA from 1 species
GAAGAGACAAUGAAUCAUCAGAAGGAAGUCGAUGGUGGCCAGACCUCGAAAAAGGUCACUGAAAGACGGCAAUGGAAGAAUAUCUCAAAGUGCGCAAUACGGCUCUACUCAUCAUACGACACUUGUAGGUGAGUGAUCAUGGCUCGGACAGUGGGCAUAUGCUCGUGCUGAUUUUAUAACUCGUUUGACAAAGACACUAGCAUAUAACACUUGACCCGACUGUCUUCAUCCAUCCACUUCUCAAAAGUAAUUCUUUGCUCAGCAGU